rnacentral:rRNA from 1 species
CGGGUUGUCAUGCCAAUGGCACUGCCCGGUAGCUAAAUGCGGAAGAGAUAAGUGCUGAAAGCAUCUAAGCACGAAACUUGCCCCGAGAUGAGUUCUCCCUGAGACUUAGAGUCUCCUGAAGGAACGUUGAAGACGACGACGUUGAUAGGCCGGGUGUGUAAGCGCAGCGAUGCGUUGAGCUAACCGGUACUAAUGAACCGUGAGGCUUAACCUUAC